rnacentral:lncRNA from 1 species
GGAGUAUAAAUGAGAUCCAUUGGUAACAGGUGUGCUUGUUUUUUGGUUUAGAGACAAAGAGGAGCAUUGAUUGGGCACAUGGAUAAUGGGCCUAAAUGGAGGGUGGAGGAUAUAUUUUGUCGUGGACAAGACUGUCUGGAGAAUACAGCCACUUAAUGGAAAAAGUAACAACGUAUUUCUACCUUCUAACGUGAUACACUCAGCACAUUCCAG